UAAUACGUAGGAGGCAAGCGUUAUCCGGAUUUACUGGGCGUAAAGAGGGCGUAGGCGGCUUUUCAAGUCGGAUGUGAAAUCUCCCGGCUCAACUGGGAGGGGUCAUUCGAUACUGAUGGGCUAGAGUGCAGCAGGGGGAGACGGAAUUCCCGGUGUAGUGGUGAUAUGCGUAGAUACCGGGAGGAACACCAGAGGCGAAGGCGGUCUCCCAGGCUGUUGCUGACGCUGAGGCCCGAAAGCGUGGGUAGCGAACAGGAUUAGAUACCCUGGUAGUCCACGCCGUAAACGAUGGACACUAGGUAUGGGGAGUAUCGACCCUCUCCGUGCCGAAGCUAACGCUUUAAGUGUCCCGCCUGGGGACUACGGCCGCAAGGCUA
rnacentral:rRNA from 1 species